UGGUCGGUUUAUUAACACAUUUUAUAUUUUUAUUUCCCUGGCGAUUCAUAAAUUACUCGUAAUUAUAAAUUAUGUAGAGAUAAUUCACUUUCCAUGUCUGAGAAAUAUAACGUGCGUUAACAUGCUUAAUUACAACACGACUUAUUGACUGUCUAAUAACAUUCGUGUCCACGUGCAAAGUGCACGUCAAUAAAUGUUGCAUAUAUAUCUGAGUCUCUUAUUGUUAGCUAGAGAUCACUUUGACAAAGUUUAAACGCAUCACUAAUUCAAAUUAUUAUACGUACAUAAUGCAAACUUAAAUAGAAGUAAAAGUUAAACUGUUAGAAAAGUCGCGAACUAAAAUAUUUUACAAUAUUUAGUCUUCAUAUAAAAACACACAGAUUAUGAGAAUCACUUCUAUAGAAAAAAAGAUUAUAGCGAUUUAAUUGUUAUUAUAUGCUCUACCACUUUGUUCAUAGUUAGACUAUUUAUGUCCACCCGGAAAAUCAAUCUCUAAAAUUAAAGAAAGAGCAAAAAUCGCAGUGUAAUGAAGCCUCAACGAUUUCCUUUGCAGCUGUUCUCGUGAAUAUUCACGCGGUCCGGAUUAAAGGUUCUUCCACAAUGCUUACACGGUACCAGCUGGCUCAAAUGUGUCAUCCAGUUGGCCUCCGUCGUCGCCGCCUGAUCAACCAUCAUAUUUCCCGUCCGGGAAUCUUCUGCGAACAGUGAAGUCAUCAUUGCAGAAUGUAUCGUACCUUGAAAAGUGUAGAUAAAAUCUUAAAAAGGCGGCACUUUUGACCAGGAAUAAUCUGCGGUGUAUAAUAAAUCAGGCCUACACCCACUUCCAUUCCAUGACGGUGCAUAAAACGAACGCAUUAUGGAUUCAUACAUCAUACAUGCACGCGUAAUCGCUUUGGUAACCGAUUGAUUGACUAAGUACUUGACGUAUUACUCUUGACCCUGACAGCGGACAGAAUGCAUCUCAAGGUUUUUGCGGCUCCUUUCUUCUUCGGCUCGGCGACAAUUUGUCAUUCUCGGCGUGCCAUUUCUUCAAGCACUGCGGCUCGUGAAUGGCGAUACUGGAGGACCCGAAAUCUCUACCGCAAAUGACGCACCGGAUACGUCGACGAAGCUCCCUGGUUUCCGGCCGAUUUUUGUCUAUGGACGGUCAAGUGAUCUUUUUGCUCGCUUUCUGCGGAAUUAUUCUGCAUCUGCCAUCGUCUACUGCACUGAGGCUCAUGGAUUUUGAUGCUUCUGGUGCCGAAAUUUCGUCCGCAAAUCUGACAGGCAACUGUUGGCGGCACAUUGCGCCCGUUCGACGGCGUGGACAGUCGUUCGUUAUUCUGGAGAAAACACAAAUGAUGAGAAGAAGAUAUAAAAUCUGAAGAUUAUUGAAGAAAAGCUUCAGUACCUUCGGUGUAGCCUUACAGCUUCUCUCGUGGACCGGCAGUCGUUCCGGCAAAAAUGUCCUUCCGCACUUUGCGCAUGGAAUUAAUUGCUCCUGAAAAAUCCAGAUUUUCAUGUCUUUGAUCAUCAAAAAAGGAGGUUCGUGAAUGGGGAAACUGGCGGUGCCGAAUUCCCGGCCACAAAUGUAGCACGUGAUCGUCUUGGGGCCCCGUUUCGCGGACGACGACCUGACCUGCCGACCCGAGUCCUGGGCAGAAGGAUCCUGAGAAGCGACCGGCCUUGUCUCGUCCGAUCUGUUCCUGUUCCGGUCGCUGCGGAAGUUCAACGCCACCGGCUUCUGGAUCGACUUGGGCACCGGCGGCACCGCGGGCUUCGGCUUCAUCGUCGACGUCGGGAUGUCCUUGAUCUUGGUCUGACUGCCCUUCGGAUGACUGUGAAAUCGCUCCGGCUGAUCCGGACGUCCGCAGGUCUUGCACGGCUCCGGAGCGCUCCUCGUCGACGACGCCGCAGCGGUGAAUAUCUCCAGAUCGCUCGGCAAACCCGCCCGCGAGUUCCUCUUCUUCACCGAGGACAGCACUUUGGGAGGACCAUUUCUAGUCGUAUAGAUAGAUUCAAAUAGACAUAUAAAAGUAAAUGGCUCAUCUAUGAAACAAAUAAUAAUCAGAUCACCGACCUAUUAUUAUUAUCGUCGAGUUUCCGGACAUCAAGGUUCCGUGUCGCGGGUCCUGCGGGUGACGUGAUCUUCUGACCUCCGGUGGGCGAUCGCGAUCGAUCGAUCUCCUCCAUCUGACGAUCUGUCAUCGUCGCGGUCCGCGGGCCGCGGAUCUGCUCGAAACUCCGUCGCUGGCGGUGCGUCACUGGAGCGUCUUCGCGGGACGACCACGAAGAGGUGGACGUGGCGGGGACGGCUGCGCUUCGGCGGCGUCGUCGUCGUGUCGCCGAUGGCGAUGACGACACCAGCAACAACGACGAUGCGGAUGUCGUGGUGUCUCCGCCGCUCGACUUGCUCACGUUCCGGGUAGACUGAUGGAACCGCGUCAUCGAGUCGCACAGCAGCUCCUUGCUCAGCAGCGACAUAUCCAGCUUGUCCACGAGCGCGGGAUCCAGGACGCUCGGCCGCGCGAGAUUCGCCGUCUUCGGCCGCUCCGGCUCUUCCGCGCGGAACCCGUCCGUCCGUUUCAUCUUCGGCGGCCAGGUGCCGGUGUUGCUGGCCGCAUUUCUUGGCGUCGUCCUUUUGUCAUCCGUCCUCUUAGUCGCACCUGUUCAGACGAUACUCUAUUGUUGAUUACGAUGAACGCCGAUGUCAUUACGCGUGUUACAUUAGUUAAUAUCCAUUAGAAAAGAGCUAUAAUUAUUGUAAAAAAUUUCUCACAAUUGUUUUUUCUUUUUUUAAAGAUCUCAGAUUAAUGUACACUGGGAUUAUUAAAUAUAAUUGAUAAUUUAACGUUUGUAUAAGUGGAUAACGGAAAUUAAACUUGAUAAGAUCGAAAAAAUGUACUAGGAAAU